UACGGAGGGUGCAAAGCGUUGCUCGGAAUCAUUGGGCGUAAAGCGCACGUAGGCGGCCUGUUAAGUCGGGUGUGAAAGCCCGUGGGCUCAACCCAGGAAGUGCACUCGAAACUGGCAGGCUUGAAUAUGGAAGAGGGUCGCGGAAUUCCCGGUGUAGAGGUGAAAUUCGUAGAUAUCGGGAGGAACACCAGUGGCGAAAGGCGG
rnacentral:rRNA from 1 species